rnacentral:rRNA from 1 species
UACGUAGGGUGCAAGCGUUUGUCCGGAAUUAUUGGGCGUAAAGAGCUCGUAGGCGGUCUGUCGCGUCGGGCUGUGAAAUCCCGAGGCUCAACCUCGGGUCUGCAGUCGAUACGGGCAAACUAGAGUAUUGCAGGGGAGACUGGAAUUCCUGGUGUAGCGGUGAAAUGCGCAGAUAUCAGGAGGAACACCGGUGGCGAAGGCGGGGUCUCUGGGCAAUAACUGACGCUGAGGAGCGAAAGCAUGGGGGAGCGAACAGGG